GGGAGUCGAGAGAGUCGGCGGUGCACGCUCCACAUUUCCACUUCCCUAGUCAAUGCCGGCAGUCUCGCGGGAUUUCCUCCUGUCGCGGGAGUUAUUUGAAUGCCUGCGCGGUAACGACUCCUUAGGGGCCUGGGGCCCUCUGACAAGAAGCCUGAGGAGACGCCGCGGAGAGCUCUGCCUCUGGAUUGGUGGGCAGGUUGGCUGUAGCUGAACGCCGACAGGGCUUGUCCGGACAGAGUCCCAGAGCCAUGGGAGCGUAAAGAGACUGCUGCGGAUUAAGGAGGCCUUUCGGCUGGCGCAGCAGCCGCACCACAACCAGGCGAAGCUGGUGGUGGCGCUGAAUCGCUCCUGCGGCGGGGUAAGCGCUCCCGGCCCGCGCCCACCCCAUCCCGGAGCUGGCGGGGCCAGGACGCUGGUUCCUACACUCCAAGGGGUAACUGUCAGAUUCUGAAAAGAAUUAAAGAGUUGCUGGAUCCAAGAGGAAAUGUGUUUGCAAAUAUGAUAGAUAUUUACAAUUGCCCUUCAUGGAGUGAUCCGUUCCUGAUCGGCAGAGAAGAGCAUGAGAGUACUGUGGUAAACAGCAAUGAAGUUUUUGAUGUGCCAAAUUCUGAAUGAGGUCUCACUCUGUUGCCCAGGGUGCAGUACAGUAGUGCAAUCUUGGCUCACUGCAGCCUCAACCUUCUGGGCUCUGGUGAUCCCCCACCUCAGCCUCCCAAGUAGCUGGGACUACAGAAGUUUACCGUAAAACAACUUCAGGCAGAUCCUUCAAAGUAUUACAGAUGAAGGCAUUGUUGUCAUAGAUGACAGCUUUGUGCAUGUUACUGCCCUUGAAGACCUUCCCAUGGGACAAAAUCUGGAAGUGGAAGACAGUGAUAUUGUUGAUUGUGACCCUGUCGAUGGAGUUUUGCUCUUGUUGCCCACGCUGGAGUGCAAUGGCAUGAUCUCGACUUACCGCAACCUCCAGCUCCCGAGUUCAAGUGAUUCUCCUGCUACAACCUCCCGAGUAGCUGGGAUUACAGGCGCCCGCCACCACGCCUGGCUAAUUUUGUAUUUUUAGUAGAGAUGGGGUUUCUCCAUGUUGGUCAGGCUAGUCUCGAACUCUCGACCUCAGGCGAUCUGCCCACCUUGGCCUCCCAAAGUGCUGGGAUUAUAGGUGUGAUAAAUUGACCAUCUUAUACCAGGAAAUCAAAUGAGAAGACAUCAGUAAAAAUAUUCUGGCCAACUCAUGUUUUAUUUAUCAUAUCCUCUUCAUUAAUUGCUUCUCAUAAUGCCACAGUUUGUCAUGGUAUUUGUGGCAGCAGGCAAAGUCCUUGCUUAGACUUUGAUUAAAUUACUGUGGCAUUUUUCUAUUAAAAAGAUAUCGUGGUUUCAAUCUAUAAUUUGCCUGUGAUCUGCGGGUUAAAAAAAAGAGCACUAUACUAUUCCAUUUGAUUCAGUGUUUUCAGAUAAUACAUCAUUUUGCUUAGUCUCAUUUGGAUGAAAUGAAUAUUUCCAGAUCUACAUGUCAAAUAAGAGGAUACUACAACUUAGUAUGUAACUCCUAAAAAAUAGAAAUUAUUUAAUAUGAGUUAAACUUCAAUUUUAACAGAUGUUGAGUGCCUAUAUCAUAUGCCAAGCAUUGGACUAGGUACUUGUACAUGUUUUCUCAUGGACUGCCAUCAAGGUUAAAGAGGUUGCCCAUGAUCAUGUGACUGUUUAGUGAAAGAGCCAAGAACCUAAGUACUACGACAUGUAUCCAGGUGCCCUUUGCACUGUCCCAUGUUUCAAAUCAUUAAAGGUGGGAUGCGAUUUUCAAGAUUAUUUAAUAGCUGUAAUUUGUAAUGGGUACAAAUAUGGUUUAUAAUGUUAACAUUAAACUAGAAACUAUGCAACAUUUAGUAAUUUUUAAAUUAUGAUUAUUUUGAUUGAUAAUUUAUAAUUGUAUACAUUUAUAAGAUACAAUGUGAUGUUUUGAUAUAUGUCUACAAUGUGGAAUGAUUACAUCAAGCUAAUUAACACAUC
ensembl:lncRNA